UCCCUAGUUAGUGGCGAACGGGUGAGUAACGCGUGAGCAACCUGCCUUUCAGAGGGGGACAACAGCUGGAAACGGCUGCUAAUACCGCAUAACAUGAUUUAGCCGCAUGACUGGAUCAUCAAAGAUUUAUCGCUGAGAGAUGGGCUCGCGUCUGAUUAGCUAGUUGGUGAGGUAAAGGCCCACCAAGGCGACGAUCAGUAGCCGGACUGAGAGGUUGAACGGCCACAUUGGGACUGAGAUACGGCCCAGACUCCUACGGGAGGCAGCAGUGGGGAAUAUUGGGCAAUGGGGGCAACCCUGACCCAGCAACGCCGCGUGAAGGAAGAAGGCUUUCGGGUUGUAAACUUCUUUUACCAGGGACGAAGGACGUGACGGUACCUGGAGAAAAAGCCACGGCUAACUACGUGCCAGCAGCCGCGGUAAUACGUAGGUGGCAAGCGUUGUCCGGAUUUACUGGGUGUAAAGGGCGUGUAGGCGGAGCAGCAAGUCAGAAGUGAAAUCUCUGGGCUCAACCCAGAAACUGCUUUUGAAACUGUUGCCCUUGAGUAUCGGAGAGGCAGGCGGAUUCCUAGUGUAGCGNGUGAAAUGCGUAGAUAUUAGGA
rnacentral:rRNA from 1 species